UGGCGGCAGUAGCGCGGUGGUCCCACCUGACCCCAUGCCGAACUCAGAAGUGAAACGCCGUAGCGCCG
rnacentral:rRNA from 4 species